CUGACCUUCGUCGGCGCUCGCCGAGAUGUUGCAACAGAUAACUCAGAGAUGGUGGGGGACCAUGAAACCUUACUGCUCUAGAGUUUACCAAGAAGUGUGGUUUGGCGUGGCAUGCACCAGCUACAUGUAUUACAAAAUUUCACAUGGCGGUAAAAAAGACAAGAAAAACAAAUCCUCUGAUCCUGGUCAUCAUUAAGUAGCUCUUCUUUGGGUAUGCAGUUGGUGACUCAUCCGUGUUAUAAAUGAAGGAAGCUACCACCAUAGGGAAUGUAAUUGGACUUCAUAAGCAUUGUACAGUUCCAAAACUGUACGUAAUCCAGCCGCUGUACUUAAAGAAUAAAUCUGUGAGCACGUAGUA